CAGCCGCCGCGGGAAUACGUAGGUGGCAAGCGUUGUCCGGAAUUAUUGGGCGUAAAGGGCUCGCAGGCGGUUUCUUAAGUCUGAUGUGAAAGCCCCCGGCUCAACCGGGGAGGGUCAUUGGAAACUGGGAAACUUGAGUGCAGAAGAGGAGAGUGGAAUUCCACGUGUAGCGGUGAAAUGCGUAGAGAUGUGGAGGAACACCAGUGGCGAAGGCGACUCUCUGGUCUGUAACUGACGCUGCGGAGCGAAAGCGUGGGGAGCGAACAGGAUUAGAUACCCGAGUAGUCCCUGUCUCUUAUAA
rnacentral:rRNA from 1 species